AGUCGAACGAGUUCUCGUUGAUGAUCGGUGCUUGCACCGAGAUUCAACAUGGAACGAGUGGCGGACGGGUGAGUAACACGUGGGUAACCUGCCCUUAAGUGGGGGAUAACAUUUGGAAACAGAUGCUAAUACCGCAUAGAUCCAAGAACCGCAUGGUUCUUGGCUGAAAGAUGGCGUAAGCUAUCGCUUUUGGAUGGACCCGCGGCGUAUUAGCUAGUUGGUGAGGUAAUGGCUCACCAAGGCGAUGAUACGUAGCCGAACUGAGAGGUUGAUCGGCCACAUUGGGACUGAGACACGGCCCAAACUCCUACGGGAGGCAGCAGUAGGGAAUCUUCCACAAUGGACGCAAGUCUGAUGGAGCAACGCCGCGUGAGUGAAGAAGGCUUUCGGGUCGUAAAACUCUGUUGUUGGAGAAGAAUGGUCGGCAGAGUAACUGUUGUCGGCGUGACGGUAUCCAACCAGAAAGCCACGGCUAACUACGUGCCAGCAGCCGCGGUAAUACGUAGGUGGCAAGCGUUAUCCGGAUUUAUUGGGCGUAAAGCGAGCGCAGGCGGUUUUUUAAGUCUGAUGUGAAAGCCCUCGGCUUAACCGAGGAAGCGCAUCGGAAACUGGGAAACUUGAGUGCAGAAGAGGACAGUGGAACUCCAUGUGUAGCGGUGAAAUGCGUAGAUAUAUGGAAGAACACCAGUGGCGAAGGCGGCUGUCUGGUCUGUAACUGACGCUGAGGCUCGAAAGCAUGGGUAGCGAACAGGAUUAGAUACCCUGGUAGUCCAUGCCGUAAACGAUGAAUGCUAGGUGUUGGAGGGUUUCCGCCCUUC
rnacentral:rRNA from 1 species